GGCCAGGUAGCUCAGUCGGUAGAGCAGCGGAUUGAAAAUCCGCGUGUCGGUGGUUCGAUUCCACUCCUGGCCACCA
rnacentral:tRNA from 5 species